AGCAGCCGCGGUAAUUCCAGCUCCAAUAGCGUAUAUUAAGGUUGUUGCAGUUAAAAGCUCGUAGUUGAAUUUCGGGAUUGGCGCAUCGGUCGUGCCUUACGGGGUAUGAACUGGUGCAGUCAAUUUCUCACCUUCUGGAGAACCGCGAUGUCCUUAAUUGGGUGCCGCGGGGAACCAGGACCUUUACUUUGAAAAAAUUAUGAG
rnacentral:misc_RNA from 1 species